rnacentral:rRNA from 1 species
UAGGGAAUCUUCCACAAUGGGUGCAAACCUGAUGGAGCAAUGCCGCGUGAGUGAAGAAGGUCUUCGGAUCGUAAAGCUCUGUUGUUAGAGAAGAACACGUGCUAGGUAACUACUAGUGCCUUGACGGUAUCUAACCAGAAAGUCACGGCUAACUACGUGCCAGCAGCCGCGGUAAUACGUAGGUGACAAGCGUUGUCCGGAUUUAUUGGGCGUAAAGGGAGCGCAGGCGGUCUGUUUAGUCUAAUGUGAAAGCCCACGGCUUAACCGUGGAACGGCAUUGGAAACUGACAGACUUGAAUGUAGAAGAGGAAAAUGGAAUUCCAAGUGUAGCGGUGGAAUGCGUAGAUAUUUGGAGGAACACCAGUGGCGAAGGCGAUUUUCUGGUCUAACAUUGACGCUGAGGCUCGAAAGCGUGGGGAGCGAACAGGAUUAGAUACCCUGGUAGUCCACGCCGUAAACGAUGAGUGCUGAGUGUUGGGGGCUUUCCGGCCCUCGGUGCUGGAGCUAACGUAUUAAGCACUCCGCCUGGGGAUUGCGACCGCAAGGUUG